CGGAGGCUUGAGAAAGUUCUGCAGUUGUUUUAGUACUGCCACAACUGGUUUUGUCCUCCAAGACUAAACCCAGAAUACAGUCUCUUUUGUCUGAAUUACUUUUUCAGACUACAACCUGUGUUUAUGGACACUUU